rnacentral:lncRNA from 1 species
UUCAUUUAUAAUUUAAGUUGUCAGCAUGGACAAUGGUUUGAAUUAAAUAUUUUCUUUUAUCAGUUUUUUAGGUCAAAAUCAUUUAGAGAAUGCCUAUUUGCUUUUUAUUUAUAAAUUGUGUCUACGAUUCUACAUCAACUUCUUCAUCAACUCGUGGCAUAACUAUAAAUUAGGUAACUAUGAGUAAAAUAAAGUUAGCAAAUAAGCACUCUAUAGCAACCCAUUCCUUUAAAAAAUUGUGAAAUGAAUUACACAUCAGAAGUCAUUUUCAUCCAACAACCCAAAUUCAUAGGCUCUAUUCGAAAUCUGAACCAUUCAUAGUAUAAGUAUUAUCUACUACUAUAUGAAAGAAUGAUUGCAAAAUUUAUUUUUGGAUAUAUCUAAACGUAAC